rnacentral:rRNA from 1 species
GAUGAACGCUGGCGGCGUGCCUAAUACAUGCAAGUCGAGCGAACGGACGAGAAGCUUGCUUCUCUGAUGUUAGCGGCGGACGGGUGAGUAACACGUGGAUAACCUACCUAUAAGACUGGGAUAACUUCGGGAAACCGGAGCUAAUACCGGAUGAUAUUUUGAACCGCAUGGUUCAAAAGUGAAAGACGGUCUUGCUGUCACUUAUAGAUGGAUCCGCGCUGCAUUAGCUAGUUGGGAAGGUAACGGCUUACCAAGGCAACGAUGCAUAGCCGACCUGAGAGGGUGAUCGGCCACACGGGAACUGAGACACGGUCCAGACUCCUACGGGAGGCAGCAGUAGGGAAUCUUCCACGAUGGGCGAAAGCCUGACGGAGCAACGCCGCGUGAGUGAUGAAGGUCUUCGGAUCGUAAAACUCUGUUAUUAGGGAAGAACAUAUGUGUAAGUAACUGUGCACAUCUUGACGGUACCUAAUCAGAAAGCCACGGCUAACUACGUG